rnacentral:lncRNA from 1 species
CGGCAUUUCAGAACCCAAAAGUGGAAACCAGAUGUGUCAUUUCCCAGACACGCCUACUACGUUGGGAAAAAUUAUGAGGCCUGGAUAUCAGGACACAAUGUUAAAUCCUUGGACAAACUGCACCUCCUCAUACAAAUGGAGCAGUUCUUGGAUGCUGUUCCUGAGGACAUAACAUGGUACAUACAAGAUGGAAAACCCAAAAAUCUCACCGAGGCAGGGGAGAUUGGAGCCACAUGGAUGGAAGUGGCAGAAAGCAAGAAAGCUACUGUCAAGGGGAAUGAAUACCCCAGAGGACACACUGACAAUAAACCCUAUAACCGAGGGCAACCAAAGACCCCACCUACAACCCAAGGAAAGCCACAGACACCCUAUUCUUCCACCUCACCAGUCUCCAGUAACCCACCUCGACCCAGUGACCAGCCAGCUGGAAGAUGCUUUAAGUGUAAUGAACUGGGACAUAUCAAGGCCAACUGCCCAAAGAGCGCCAACCGAGUGCAGUUCAUUACACCACCAUCACACCAAAGAUCCCCAGGCCCCGAUGCCUCUCAAAUACCCUUGGACCAAAGGGAAAUUUUAAGAGUGGACGGAAAGAAGGUUACCGCAUUUAGAGACAUGGGGGCGCAAGUGUCAGCUAUCCACCAAUCCUUCAUCGAUCCCAAAUUCAUCCACCCAAAGGCCCAAGUGACAAUUUACCCCUUCAUGUCACAAGCUGUAGACUUGCUUACAGCUGAACUGCCUGUCCAGUACAAAGGCUGGUCAGGAAUGUGGACUUUGACAGUCUAUGACAAUUAUUCCAUCCCCAUGCUACUGGGGGAAGACUUGGCCAACCAGGUGAAGCGGGCCAAGAGAGUGGGAAUAGUUACAUGCAGCCAAACCAGGCAAGCUUCCGGACCCAUUCCUGUUCCGGAGCCGUCCACAGACACCCCGUCUGUGUUACCAGAGACCCAGACAAAGGUAGUGGACCCGGAUUCCAUGCCAACCACUGAAACAGCCACAGCGCCUCCAGUCCCAGGCCCGGAACUGGAACAGCAACCAGCACCAGCAGUUGCAACCACAUCUUCAAACUCAACACCAGAGGGAGCCAGCGAGCCAGAACUGGCAAAAGCAACAGACAGCCAUACCCAAAAGGCUCAGCCAGAGCCUGAAAUACCCUCAGGUGCACCAGCGGAGAGCGGUUCACCAGCAAUG